GGUUGUGUGGUGUCAGGACUUAACCCACUUGUGAACAAUGCAUCGAACUUCAAUGUUCACAGUGGUUAAGUUCUGCCGCCCCUAGACC
ensembl:miRNA mir27c microRNA 27c